AUUGAACGCUGGCGGCAGGCCUAACACAUGCAAGUCGAGCGGCAGCGACUUAACUGAACCUUCGGGGAACGUUAAGGGCGGCGAGCGGCGGACGGGUGAGUAAUGCCUGGGAAUAUGCCCUGAUGUGGGGGAUAACUAUUGGAAACGAUAGCUAAUACCGCAUAAUCUCUUCGGAGCAAAGAGGGGGACCUUCGGGCCUCUCGCGUCAGGAUUAGCCCAGGUGGGAUUAGCUUGUUGGUGAGGUAAUGGCUCACCAAGGCAACGAUCCCUAGCUGGUCUGAGAGGAUGAUCAGCCACACUGGAACUGAGACACGGUCCAGACUCCUACGGGAGGCAGCAGUGGGGAAUAUUGCACAAUGGGGGAAACCCUGAUGCAGCCAUGCCGCGUGUGUGAAGAAGGCCUUCGGGUUGUAAAGCACUUUCAGUAGGGAGGAAGGUAGUGUAGUUAACACCUGCACUAUUUGACGUUACCUACAGAAGAAGCACCGGCUAACUCCGUGCCAGCAGCCGCGGUAAUACGGAGGGUGCGAGCGUUAAUCGGAAUUACUGGGCGUAAAGCGCAUGCAGGCGGCCUAUUAAGUCAGAUGUGAAAGCCCGGGGCUUAACCUCGGAAUUGCAUUUGAAACUGGCAGGCUAGAGUCUUGUAAGGGGGGUAGAAUUUCAGGUGUAGCGGUGAAAUGCGUAGAGAUCUGAAGGAAUACCAGUGGCGAAGCGGCCCCCUGGACAAAGACUGACGCUCAAUGCGAAAGCGUGGGGAGCAAACAGG
rnacentral:rRNA from 1 species